GCUAACCACUUUUUAUUCUGACCAAUUUCGCUUAAUCCUUUCUGGGUUUUGUUUAUUUUCAGUUUAAUUUUGUUUUCUUCGUUUCAGAUCUCUGAAUUCACUCUCAAAAUUUGAUCUUUGUUGUUGUUGUUUGUUAUUUUUUUUAUUGAAUUCUGGUGGGGCUUUGUCACUGGGGUAUGAAUUCUUGCCUCAGACAGAAGGAUUUUUCUCAAGUUGUGAUAGUUCACGGGUCUUCUGCUAAGAGAUCGAGAAUGGUCUUGAUGUGUCUUUAUCCUGCAGCGUCUGGGUUGCAUGUUUUACUUGUCUAUUAAGCGUGGCAUGUGGUUUUAAUCUAUCUCUGUUGAAGUAUCCGGGUUUAACUUUUUUCACUGUUUGGAUAAGGUUCUCAGAUGGACGUAGGCUUACGUUUGGUUCCUGUAAUUUUUUUAUUUUGUUAUUUGCUGCUUGCUUUUGUGGAUUGUUUAGUUAUUGCAUGCCGGGUUAAUAAAUGCAAGGAGUAAAUAGCGAACGAAAAAAUUUAGUCCCUAAGUCGAUAUCCGUGCGACACUGAAAGAAGCAAAAUUCAGAUACUCCGGUGCUGAUAGAUUUAUGAAAAAACUUCCAAAUCUAAGGCCAAACUGGAUUAAAGAAUGGAAAUUCAUAUGCUUCCCUCUUAUGUUUGAAUUUUUAAUGUUAGUGAGAGAAUAAUAAUUGGCAAUUUACGUAUAUAUCUGUAUUCUUGGAUAGUCAGUCACGCGCUAUAGAGCUGUUGUGGUGUGUUACGCAAUCUAGAACCAUUUUAGCCUGUUGUGUUUCCACAAUGUGUCAUGUCUGGAGGGUUCUGAAUCGCAGUCUUGUGUAGCAUUGGUGGCCGCAACAUUGCCUGGAUGAAACCCGUCUUUAACCUCCAUAAUAUAGUGUCAUUUAAGGUUUACUUUGGGAGACAUGUGCGUGAUUUUAUACUUCCCUUAAUCAAGGUUUGAAAUAAAACCCUUUUUUGAAACAUGACCCACUAUAUUUGGUGCAUCUCCAGCCUUUUCUAAUGGUUUUUGACACCUUCCCGGUGUUUCUGGCCUUGAUCUGUUCUCAGGCACUGUCUUCAAUGUUAUUUGUGUUGUGGCAAUCAUGGGUGCUUUUGCAGACAAGCACAGCUCCCGGGAGUGCUGUAUCACACCUCUUAGGCUAUUUUUUGUUUUGAUUAUGUUGCAAGCUAUGUUUUGUAUUGGAAUUAGGGUAUUCUAAAUUUGGACUUGGACUCAUCCACCACACUAGCUAGCUUUGGUGCGGCUCUUCUGCAGUAUAUAUCAAUUGAUAUCUCAGCCUGUACAUAGUAUUUUUCGAAGAUUGCAUAGUGUGGUGCAAAGUUACAGCCCUAUUGCAAGAUAUAUAGGGCAUGACUGCUACACAGGAAUUGUGGGUUCUUGAUAUGAAUUAGGUCUCUCCCACCACAACAGCUAAAUUUGUUGUGUGGUAAUUCUAAGAUUUGCAUCAUACUUUACUUGUUUUCUAUCUAUCCAGACAAACUUUAAUUGCAAUGAUAAUUGUUGUGCCCUAUAUAUUUAUGUACACACCCACACACCCACACACACACACACCCACACCCACACACACAGGUGUGGGUGGGUGUGUGUGUGUGUGUGGAUAUAGCUAAUGGCCACAUAAUCUCAUAAAAAAUGUCUUGUGCAUUUAUCUUUAAUCUUCAUUUAAAUGGGAUUGAGUGUUCGAUAUUUGUUAUUCUUUUAUCCUAUAAGGCAUGAUACCUAUUUCUCACUUGAUAUGCUUCCUAUGUGUGUAUUGGUUGGAAGUCAAGUCAUGUACAGUUGAAAGUUUAUGUAGUAUUUAUAAUGGUUGUGCUCUUCGAUUGAAUUUCAAAUCAUCGGGACUUCUGGUCAAUAGUUUUCAUAAAACUGUGUGGAUUAUUGCAGCUUCUAAUUUUACCAUCUAAAUAUGUUGUAUAGUAUCAUGGGUUGGAUUGAUAAAGUGGCGCUUUUGUUUUUUGUGUUGCA